AUGAGGAAAAAGACGGUGAUGUCAGCCGCAGACAGGAUCCUACAGCCCAGAAGCCGCCUGCUGUAUCAGUCACCUGUUCCAGGAGCAGCUGUCUUUCACACUGCUGUCCGUGUGCCACCGGGAGCAAAGCAGACGGGACAGCUGCCCCCACAGACGGACUCCGCCCCUGAGCGCCCCCUCCCCGCGUCUGAGCCAGGGCGUCCUAGCUUCACGGCCGCCACCUGGAGACCGGCUUUUGCAGAAGAUGGAAGUAAACUGGGAAACAGGUAACAUGACCAAGGAGGCGGGUUGGCCAAUCCACACGGCGCUCACAGAUGGAGGUUUCCCCUCGCCCCUGCUCCGCCCGACCUUGCCGCCACCACCCUCAAACCCCUCCCCGUGAACCUGGGUGAUGGCCAUGCUGGGGUACGGUGGCAGCAAUGCCCUGGGGUGCUCCCGGAGGUGUCCCCGCCUUCCUGGCCGCACGGCCACAGCCCCCAGCACAGCCGCCUGAGCUGAGCUCAGAGCAGACGGUCACUUUAAGGCACGAAGGUCGGGGGCUGUGUUUGCAGUGACAGACCCCCAGACGCGGGCCUCCCUCUGUUGCCUUCUCCGUCUUUCCCUCCGUGAUCUCCUGGUCACGGUGAUGCUCUCAGAAGCUGGGACGCAGGCCUGGAGACCACACCUGCGCCUGUCCCCUUGCAGGCCUGGGACCCUGCUCUCCUGUGUGGUGUCCUCUGACAGGAAGCCGCAGGCCUGCUUCGGGGGGGAGGGGCUAAAUCUGGAUCAUAUUUUGCAGUUUUCCUUAGGAAGCCCCUGAACUGUAAGCUACCCACAGAGCAUACGCGCACCCCCCGUUCUUGCCUCUUUCCAGGGGGGCGAAGCAGUCAUGACCACACUCGACGCUGCAGGAGCUCUGCUCUGGGCACCGGCCGCUUCCCUCCCCGCAGCCGCGGGGGUGCUCGCGCACGAGGACAGAGCAGGCAGACGAGCGCAGGCGCCCGAGCUUCGCAGGUAGCAGCCACGGUGCAGCAGAUCGCAGGGACACAGAUACCGGGGCAGGCUGGCCCCCUCAGCCCGGCCCGUGCUGGAAGGGGUCCGAACUGUCCGUGACGUCCCACGGGUUCUGCGUGAUGCCGUAAGCGCCGACCCCAGACACACAGACCGCACUGUUCUCACCACCGCGGGGGACGGCGGGCGGCGGGCUUGGGGAUGUGGAGGGCCCCUGCCUGGCAGCACAGACACCUCUGUCAACGCGACCCUUCCCCGCAGCCUCGUGGACGCAGCCUGC
rnacentral:lncRNA from 1 species